GAAGUAGAAAUAAACUUUUGUUAAUUAUUUUCAAGGGUUUUAGUUUUUUAUAACUUAAUAUAUAUAAAUAAAAAUAGAUUAUAUAUAUAUAUAAUAUAUUUAUAUUCUUAACGGGUUAACGGAUUAGCCGUUAAGAAAAUUGAAUAAUCCAUCCCCAAAAUGAUAAGCCGUUAAUGAAAAAAAUUCAAUCUGUUCCCCGUCCGUUAAGCCGUUAAGCCGUUACCAGUAAGCCGUUAAGCUUCGGUUUGGAUCGGUUUUCGUUUUCGGAUCAGUUUUGAACACCCC
rnacentral:lncRNA from 1 species